rnacentral:tRNA from 1 species
GCGGGUGUCGCCAAGCGGUAAGGCCCAAGCUUCCCAAGCUUGUAUUCGCGGGUUCGAUUCCCGUCACCCGCUCCA